rfam:Heterobasidion irregulare TC 32-1 unplaced genomic scaffold scaffold_10, whole genome shotgun sequence.
GGCGAGAUGGCCGAGCGGUCUAAGGCGCCAGACUAAGGAUCUGGUCCCUUCGGGGGCGUGGGUUCGAAUCCCACUCUCGUCA